rnacentral:lncRNA from 1 species
CUUUCUGAGAGUGUUUAUUCAACAUGUUAUCUACCAACACAGGUUAAUGUCUAAACUUUCUGAGUGUUUAUCCAACAUGUUAUCUACCAACACAGGUUAAUGUCUAAACUAUCUGAGUGUUUAUCCAACAUGUUAUCUACCAACACAGGUUAAUGUCUAAACUUUCUGAGAGUGUUUAGCCAGCAUGUUAUCUACCAACACAGGUUAAUGUCUAAACUUUCUGAGUGUUUAUACAACAUGUUAUCUACCAACACAGGUUAAUGUCUAAACUAUCUGAGAGUGUUUAGCCAACAUGUUAUCUACCAACACAGGUUAAUGUCUAAACUUUCUGAGUGUUUAUACAACAUGUUAUCUACCAACACAGGUUAAUGUCUAAACUAUCUGAGAGUGUUUAGCCAGCAUGUUAUCUACCAACACAGGUUAAUGUCUAAACUUUCUGAGUGUUUAUCCAACAUGUUAUCUACCAACACAGGUAAAUGUCUAAACUUUCUGAGUGUUUAUCCAACAUGUUAUCUAC